rnacentral:tRNA from 1 species
UCCCUGGCGGUCCAGUGGCUAAGACUCUGUGUUCCCAAUGCAGGGGGCCUGGGUUCGAUCCCUGGCCAGGGAA